CACGUAGGGCGCAAGCGUUGUCCGGAAUUAUUGGGCGUAAAGAGCUCGUAGGCGGUCUGUUGCGUCUGCUGUGAAAACCCGGGGCUUAACCCCUGGCUUGCAGUGGAUACGGACAGACUAGAGGUAGGUAGAGGAGAAUGGAAUUCCCGGUGUAGCGGUGAAAUGCGCAGAUAUCGGGAGGAACACCGGUGGCGAAGGCGGUUCUCUGGGCCUUACCUGACGCUGAGGAGCGAAAGCGUGGGGAGCGAACAGG
rnacentral:rRNA from 1 species